CACAAGGAAUGAUAUUGAUGAAUCCCAUGUGUUUGGCUAAUCCCUUCAGCUACUGCCUCAUGUGUAUCAAGCACCAUGGGGACUUGUCAUGUGGUGGGGGUGCUGCAUUUGCUGGAUGAAUAAGAGAUACUUACAGAAAGCAACAAAAGGAAAACUGCUAAUAAUAAUAUUUGUUGUAACACUGUGGGGGAAAUUAGCAUCUGGGGCAAACCACCACAAAGCUCACCAUGUUAAAACUGGAACCUGUGAGGUGGUGGCUCUUCACAGAUGUUGUAAUAAGAACAAGAUAGAAGAAAGGUCACAGACAGUCAAGUGCUCCUGCUUUCCUGGGCAGGUAGCAGGUACCACCCGAGCAGCUCCUUCUUGUGUUGAUGCUUCAAUAGUGGAACAGAAAUGGUGGUGCCACAUGCAACCAUGUCUUGAAGGGGAGGAAUGUAAAGUUCUUCCAGAUCGGAAAGGAUGGAGCUGUUCCUCUGGGAAUAAAGUGAAAACAACUAGGGCAAACGUGUAAAACUCUUCAAGUCCGAAUGGAGAAGUAGAAAAAGGAGGUUUCUGCUGUUCCUGAUGACAAUUUUUGAUUUUUCCACACACACAAAAUAUCCUGGCUCCACGCUGGAGCACUAGUUGUGAUGAAUCCUAGGCUUGGUCGGAUUCUAAGGAAGGGCCAGAAGGUUCAUUGAGGAAUAAAGAGUCAAAACCACUCCAGAAAUGUGUUCCAGCCCUGGUUUAUUACUCACACAGCAGCAGGUAACCCGAUAGCUAAAGACAACUCAAGUCUAUCUCAAGGCUGAUAAUGCUAACAGAGCAGGAAUUUCAUACCUCCCUCCAGGCAAUCCUUGAAGUGAGUUUACACUGCUGGGGUGCAUUGGCUUGUAAUCAGCAACAGCUUGAGAUCAAAACUACUGGAAAGUCAUUGUGAACUUUUCUGUCACAGAGAUUUCAACUGAUUGAACUAUGUACACUUACAAAAUUGCACUUGCUGAGGAAUUUAUGGCUGCAAUCUAAAGCGGUGAUGCUCAGAGGGUGUAGAAGAGGCAACAAUCUUUCGGGUUCUCCAUUCCAGACUGACGGCUUUUCAUCUUUACAAAAGCAGUCUUCGAAAUGUACUGGUUCUUUCACUCUGAAAUGUUCCCUGGUUCUAUGUACAAAUUGCUGGUGGGACUGCACGCUACUUUAAUCAAAUUUAUGUUGCAGAACUUGUCCUUUGGCAUAGCGCAGUUUUAGACAUUUUUAUUUGUAUUUCUAAUCUUGGAUCUCUGAAAGGCUACAUGUUUCAACAUCUUGAAGUUGCUUUUGUUAUAGGAAUGGAAAUAUAUAUCCAUUGUUAAUAAUUAUUGUUGACAAGUAAUAGUUAUCGGAAUACAUCAAUCAUAUAAGAAUGUAUAGCCAGCCUGACAUGUUUCCCUAAGGCUAACCAACUACUGUAGCUCUUUGGCAGUUUCAUUAUAAGUAUUUUAUAACUUUAAAAAUAUACAUUUCCAUUUAGUUUGAAGAUGAUGGGUGUUUCUGGUAUGUCCUUUACUUUCUUAACCUUAAGUCCUUUCAAGUUGACAGUAAGCAGUAAAUGACAUUAGCUAGUCCCUUUUUGUAAAGGUAGACAGGGAUGCAUGCAAGUUUUACAAUUCUGAGAUUGGAUGUCAUUCAUUCAGUUUCUUUUAGUUAUUUAUUUUUUUAAACUAUCUCUUGCUUGAACACAAGUACUAUCUGGAUGCUUACGUAGAUGUCUGCUCAGUUUGUUAAUAGAGGAAAAAAAUCUUUUCCCCCCAAUCUGAAGUUCAUAAAUGUUUUGCUUACAGUUAUUCAUUCCAGGUCUUCUGGGGCCUUUCCAUAGUCAUUUCCCCAAAUUAACAUUUAUUUUCCUAUUUUCUAUUUCCGUAGCAAAUUUUUGUGAUGUACUGUUCUAUGAAACCCUUAAUAUUUAAAGGCCUUAAACAUAUAUGAAUUUUGUUUCUAAGUUAUUACAGAAUGUAUAAUUUUAUACUCCUUUUAAUAUAUUCAGUACCACUGGUGAUACUAAGAGAAAGGAACCCUGAUCAUUCAUUGUUGUACUGUACUGAUGCUGCAUAAGCAUGCUGACCGGAGAGAGAGAAUGAGAGUUAUAUAGUAUGCUUUAUUGUCUAAAUAGAGACAAAGACCACAGCAACUCAGACCUAGUGAAAAUAUUUGUGUGGGCAGUCUCAUUCAAAUGGCCUGCAUGGUUACCGGUAUUUUUAAAACAGCAGGGAGAAGUCCUUUUAUAGUUACAACCCAUUGACAUGGCUAAUUAGAUAUAAAUUGGGUUCCAUGAUGGAUGAACACACUGGAGUGCUCUGGUUAGUCACAGUAUCCUAGGUUCUUCCAAGAAUAUUUCAUUAAACCUCCCAUGUUAUUGCACAGGAGAUCUAAAAAUUAAUGAUUGUUGGGAAUAAUUUGAGAUGUACAUUUCAUCAUUCUGCUGAGAAAUAAUCAAAAAUAUUGGCAGGGAAAGAUAUUCUUUUCUGAUUAAAAUUUAAUUUGGAUAAACUGUAGCACCACUAGCUAUAUCAGUUUUUUCAAAUGCAUUAAUAUUGUAUGGAUUUGUGCUAAAAGAGCAUCUUAAGGAGAAAAGAAAUUCCUUUGUUUGGAACAGUACAAAUUAUAAAUGUGUUAUUUUGUAGAAUAUUAGUUUGGCCUUAAUUUGGUCAAAAUACUGUAUCAUGCUUCUCAAGAUUUGUUUCCUUUGACUUUGUUCUCUGAAUCAACACUGAAAAUACUGUAUUAUAUACAAGUGUAACACAUGCUUAUCAAUAGGUGAAAA